rnacentral:lncRNA from 1 species
AUAUGAAACACACAUAAUUAAGAGGCUAUGAUAUAAUUCAAAACUGAGAGAGAAGAACACGAUUUAAAUAAAAUUCAGCACAAUAAACCAUUUUUGAAAGAAAAAAAAGAAAAAAAAAUUAUUAUAUGGCAAUACAAUAAUUAAAUUAUAGUUCAGAAAAUACUCCUGAAGAACAUUUGUGUACUCUCUUAGGUAAAAACGAAAUGCAAAAUCAUUUGGAAACAUAACGAAGGAUAGAGGUUACUCUAACACAAGUACAUUUUUUGUUGUCACACUUCACCAUCCUUGGUGGCUGGCACAGAUGAGUAAAACAAUCACCAUCGCGUACACAUUUAGCAAUUCCUAUAUUGAAAAAUUAUAAUAAAAGUUAAGAUUAUAUUUGAUAAAACGUUAUGCAUAAAUUAACAAAUAAAUUUUGUAAAUGUUAUAAAAUGGAUUACUUCCAUGGUUGGAUGGCACCAGCAAUAUAGAAAUAAAGAUAAUCAUAAUAUAAACAAACUUUAGAGUUUCAGCCAUAUUUCUUCCUCUCUAUUUAAGAAAUGAUUUUAUGAAUUUAUAUCUUUUAAAGUUGGUACUCACCUUACAUCAAUUUAUAUCUUUUUUUUUUCUUUCAAAUAUAUCAAUGUAUUGUAUUUAUCCCUUAGCAUAUUUAGUAAGCAUUUUAGAUUAAAAAAACCAACCAAUUUUAAUAAAUAGUUUAAACCUUUUAUAACAUGAAAGAUUAAAACACAAAAGCUAAAUAGUAUUAUAAGAAAUAUUAUUUAUGAAUAUAUGGAGUGUAUUGUUGGAUACGAUUUAAAAUUCAAAUGUGGUGCAAUAGUUG